AUUGAACGCUGGCGGCAGGCCUAACACAUGCAAGUCGAGCGGAUGAAGGGAGCUUGCUCCUGGAUUCAGCGGCGGACGGGUGAGUAAUGCCUAGGAAUCUGCCUGGUAGUGGGGGAUAACGUCCGGAAACGGGCGCUAAUACCGCAUACGUCCUGAGGGAGAAAGUGGGGGAUCUUCGGACCUCACGCUAUCAGAUGAGCCUAGGUCGGAUUAGCUAGUUGGUGGGGUAAAGGCCUACCAAGGCGACGAUCCGUAACUGGUCUGAGAGGAUGAUCAGUCACACUGGAACUGAGACACGGUCCAGACUCCUACGGGAGGCAGCAGUGGGGAAUAUUGGACAAUGGGCGAAAGCCUGAUCCAGCCAUGCCGUGUGUGUGAAGAAGGUCUUCGGAUUGUAAAGCACUUUAAGUCGGGAGGAAGGGCAGUAAGUUAAUACCUUGCUGUUUUGACGUUACCAACAGAAUAAGCACCGGCUAACUUCGUG
rnacentral:rRNA from 1 species